GCAGCACAGUGUUGUUGUGGCCAAGGCAUUGGAAAUGUGUGAAGGUACAGGGCAGGGGAAAGGAAAGACAUAUUGACCAGGAAGAGAAGGAAAUUUUCACGUUAUGGAAUGAGAGAUCCCAGUGAUCAGUGCCAAAGCCCCAUUGCGUGUGAAGAAGGUGAUGUUUGAAUUCCUUGUACUGCUGCAGUUCGUGUGGUGAAGGUGCUCCCACAAUGUGGUUGGGAAUCUGCACUGGAACCCGUCUGUUUGUGGGACAAAUAUAUAUUUGAUGGAGAUGUGUUGAAAAUGUUUGCAGUUACUGAUCUGCUAAACCAAAAUGACCGCUUUUAAACUGAUGAUUGGACUAGAAACCUUUGAGAAAACUUGAAAGUAUUCGGUAAGUUCUCAACAAAAGAAAUUAACUAGUUCUGCUGGUUCUAAAUCCAUGGAAAAUAUUUGAGAAUGUUGUAGUCUUAAAGGUGAAAAGGCUAAGUGAUCAUAAUUAGGACAAUGAACAAUAUAAGAAGUAAUUGACUUUGAUAAAAUAAAAUAUAAUGAAUAGCAAAAUUCAAAAUGCUCCAACUGAUAAGGCAUCCUGACAGGCCCGAGGGAGUUCAGGAAUAACUUUGGAGUCUGAAUUAAUAAGAUGCGUGGAAAGAUUGCAAAGCCUGGAUAAAGAUCGCAAAGCCUGGAUAAAGGCAUUUAUCAAUUACAAUAACUACACAGCAAUUUAACUUAGACUUUGUAAACAUGUGGUGUUUUCUAAAAUUUCUUUCAUUAUUUCUUAUUGUCAAUGCUACUAUAUUAAUACCUAUUUGUUCAGGCUAAUCCAAAUACAAAACGAGCAAUAAUAUCCCUUGCAAAAUUCUUUGUAAAUAUCUGAUUUUUGCUCAUUUGAAAGAUUACAAUUACCUCAGCCUUUGAAAUUCAGAGAGCUCCAAUUACUUUUCCCUGCAAUAUUGUUCUUCAUUUCUAUAUAUUACUCAGUCUAAUAUCAAGAUGAGAUAUCUCAUUAUUCUCAAAUUCACGAAUAUGAUUUUCAAAAUCCCUUUG